UAAAACGUGACUUAAAAGAGAUUCUGAACAUCUUUUUUUUCUAACAGGGAGAUCCACGCUGGCAACAGGCUUGAUAGGAGCUGGGAUCUACCUUUCUGAGCUGAAAUUGUGGCACGUGGUCUUUGGGAUGAGCCUGAUGAAAAAAAGUGGACUCAUGCUUUUGUCAAAUGUGAAGAAGAAACUACGAGCAUCAACAAGGAAAAGGCAAGGAUUUCACGUGGCAGCUGAUGUGUCCUGGACACUGGGGCAGCGUGUUUGACCAGCUGGGACUGAUCCUGACCCAGGCUCUUCUCCAUCACCUGGAAUAAGGCAGGACAAACGGGCAGGAGGUGUCCCAGGAAUAACAAGAUGUGGAUCCCAACAAACACGUCCAGCAUCCCUCCUUCCAUCAACACACAGG